GAUUCUACCAGAUAAAGAUGAGGCACAGACUACUGGACAUCUCCCACUAAUGUGCAUUCAAGAAAGAAGGGAGCCAGGUGGUGGUAGCACACACCUUUAAUCCCAGCACUCAGGAAGCAGAGGCAGAAGAAUCUCUAAGUUCGAGGCCAGCCUUGGCUACAGAGAGAGCUCCAGGAAAGCCAAGGCUACAGAGCAACCCUAUCUCAAAAAAAAAAAAUAAAAAUAAAAAUAAAAAUAAAAGAGGAACAAGAGAAAGGUUUGUGUAGGAGAAAGAAAGGGAGCAGAGGAGACUAGCGGUGGCAGAGAGAGUAAAGAAGAGGCCGUGUGUUAAGUGCCCUUAACAGCCCAGCCCGGAGCUUAAGUGACUCAGUCACCAAACUGUUAGUGUGUGCCUACCACACGCCAGAGCCUAUUAUCAGCAUUAGAAAACCUCAGGGAGCCAAGGAACAAACCUGCCCGCUAGGGCUCGAAAUCUUAGGCAGAGAAGGAACUUGAACUUCCGGAACUUGUUUUGAAUGCCAGGUCUUAAGGCAAGCCUUUUUUCCUUCUAAAGACUCAAUCUCCAAGUAACAGCAGGGUAGAAAGCCAGUAUUUUCAAGACAAUGAAGACAUCUCUGCCUAAACUAGCCAUUUGGAAACACCUGAUUGUUAUGCUAUCAACCAUUUAUCCUAUCACCCUACAGAACUCUAUUCCUCUUACCCUAUUGUACCCUCACCUGUUAACCCCCAUUUCACUAUCCCUUCCUUCCCAUGAGAUCAUUAUUCUCUCGCCUUCUUUUAGAUCAACAUUUCAGCUUUCACAUAUAAGUGACAGUAAGCAGUACUUAUCUUUCUGUCCCUGAAUUUUUGUUGCUGCUUUUG